rnacentral:rRNA from 1 species
GAUGAACGCUAGCGGCAGGCUUAAUACAUGCAAGUCGAGGGGCAGCAUGAAUGUAGCAAUACACUGAUGGCGACCGGCAAACGGGUGCGGAACACGUCCAGAACCUUCCUUCGAGCGGGGAAUAGCCCAGAGAAAUUUGGAUUAAUACCCCAUAGUAUAUUGGAGUGGCAUCACUUUGAUAUUAAAGAUUUAUCACUUGAAGAUGGCUGUGCGGCAGAUUAGGUAGUUGGCGGGGUAACGGCCCACCAAGCCUACGAUCAGUAACUGGUGUGAGAGCACGACCAGUCACACGGGCACUGAGACACGGGCCCGACUCCUACGGGAGGCAGCAGUAAGGAAUAUUGGUCAAUGGACGAAAGUCUGAACCAGCCAUGCCGCGUGGAGGAUGAAGGUCCUCUGGAUUGUAAACUUCUUUUAUAUGGGACGAAAAAAGGCUUUUCUAAGUCGUCUGACGGUACCAUAUGAAUAAGCACCGGCUAACUCCGUGCCAGCCGCCGCAGUAAUAC